UGGCGGACGGGUGAGUAAUGUCUGGGAAACUGCCUGAUGGAGGGGGAUAACUACUGGAAACGGUAGCUAAUACCGCAUAACGUCGCAAGACCAAAGAGGGGACCUUAGGGCCUCUUGCCAUCGGAUGUGCCCAGAUGGGAUUAGCUAGUAGGUGGGGUAAAGGCUCACCUAGGCGACGAUCCCUAGCUGGUCUGAGAGGAUGACCAGCCACACUGGAACUGAGACACGGUCCAG
rnacentral:rRNA from 1 species